GUGCCAGCAGCCGCGGUAAUACGUAGGUGGCAAGCGUUGUCCGGAUUUAUUGGGCGUAAAGCGAGCGCAGGCGGUUUCUUAAGUCUGAUGUGAAAGCCUUCGGCUCAACCGAAGAAGUGCAUCGGAAACUGGGAAACUUGAGUGCAGAAGAGGACAGUGGAACUCCAUGUGUAGCGGUGAAAUGCGUAGAUAUAUGGAAGAACACCAGUGGCGAAGGCGGCUGUCUGGUCUGUAACUGACGCUGAGGCUCGAAAGCAUGGGUAGCAAACAGGAUUAGAUACCCUGGUAGUCCAUGCCGUAAACGAUGAGUGCUAGGUGUUGGAGGGUUUCCGCCCUUCAGUGCCGCAGCUAACGCAUUAAGCACUCCGCCUGGGGAGUACGACCGCAAGGUUGAAACUCAAAGGAAUUGACGGGGGCCCGCACAAGCGGUGGAGCAUGUGGUUUAAUUCGAAGCAACGCGAAGAACCUUACCAGGUCUUGACAUCCUUUGACCACUCUAGAGAUAGAGCUUUCCCUUCGGGGACAAAGUGACAGGUGGUGCAUGGUUGUCGUCAGCUCGUGUCGUGAGAUGUUGGGUUAAGUCCCGCAACGAGCGCAACCCUUAUUACUAGUUGCCAGCAUUUAGUUGGGCACUCUAGUGAGACUGCCGGUGACAAACCGGAGGAAGGUGGGGACGACGUCAAAUCAUCAUGCCCCUUAUGACCUGGGCUACACACGUGCUACAAUGGAUGGUACAACGAGUUGCGAGACCGCGAGGUUUAGCUAAUCUCUUAAAACCAUUCUCAGUUCGGAUUGUGGGCUGCAACUCGCCUACAUGAAGCCGGAAUCGCUAGUAAUCGCGGAUCAGUAUGCCGCGGUGAAUACGUUCCCGGGCCUUGCACACACCGCCCGU
rnacentral:rRNA from 1 species